UUUUAUUUGAGAGUUUGAUCCUGGCUCAGGAUGAACGCUGGCGGCGUGCCUAACACAUGCAAGUUGAGCGAUUUACUUCGGUAAAGAGCGGCGGACGGGUGAGUAACGCGUGGGUAACCUACCCUGUACACACGGAUAACAUAUCGAAAGGUAUGCUAAUACGGGAUAAUAUAUUUGAGAGGCAUCUCUUGAGUAUCAAAGGUGAGCCAGUACAGGAUGGACCCGCGUCUGAUUAGCUAGUUGGUAAGGUAACGGCUUACCAAGGCGACGAUCAGUAGCCGACCUGAGAGGGUGAUCGGCCACAUUGGAACUGAGACACGG
rnacentral:rRNA from 1 species